rnacentral:lncRNA from 1 species
UUUUGAUGAUGUGUUGUAUCCAACUUGUAGCUUGCUAGAUAGACUAUAGAUUCUGGCCUUUAGAUACCUUAAAUCAUCAACUAAUCAAAUGUAGUGGACAGUCAAACUUGACCAUCAGAUCAUGACUUACAUUUCUGAGGAUUUCCAGAAACAUUAAGAACACAACUUUCUGGCAUCCUUUGACCGAGAUAUAUUUGGAACAUGUGAUGUUGUUG